AUAAGAACUUGAAUCCCUUGAACUGAAUUAAAAACUUUGCCACUCAUGUUCAUGGCUUAUAGAAAAUUAAAGAAGAAAAAGAAGAAUUCUCAAAGACGAAUGUAGAGGCUGCUGAAUGGUCCUUUUGUGCGGCUGCUGUCUCUUCCAUUUAUAAUAAAUGGUCUGGGGUUAGGUUCUUAGAGACCCUAUCAAAAAUUGCAACUGGAGCAAAAUCAGGAAACUGAUUGUCGACGGAUACACGGCUCGUGUAUCACUACACGGUCCAGGGCCGUGUAACUUACUGGAGCUGAAUGGGUAUGUCUUGCAUUGGCACAGAAGUUUACACUGGUCUCCAGGAUUUACACGGGUCAAGUUACACGGCCCGUGUACUUUGUGUCAACCACGCUUCUCAAUCCUUUGACCUUUCCAAGCUUCCUUUCACACUAUAUUGCUCCGUAACUUCACCAAAACCCUGAAAAAUACAGCAAUAGUCAAAUUUCUUCAUUUAACACAAUUAUUUCAACAACUCUCUAAACAUAUUGCUAAUAGGUAAUUAUACUUUAAUCAACUGAAU
rnacentral:misc_RNA from 1 species